rnacentral:lncRNA from 13 species
UGCUCUGGAAAGCAUCCUGGGGGCUGAACCUUAUGUGAGGCAUGGGAACCCUGGCGGCAAGUUUUUCCCUGUACUGUAGGCUGGCUUUUAGGAAUGAGGCUCCUGGAGAGGAACUUGAUUAGCCUCAUUGCUCCUCUUGCCACACUUGGAGUGGCCAGAUCCUAUUCUUUCGCAGCACAGGGAAACCAGUGCAAAAACUAAUCAGGGGAAAGAAAAAGACUCACAACACCACUAGAAAAGGAGGAAAACUUCUUUUCCAGACUGUGAGCUCCACAGCAGGUAGCCCUGGGCCCUGUGGUCUGCACUUCACCAGCACCUAAUCCAUGCCUCAUAUUUAGCACAAAAUAUCCCAGAAGGAAUCAUUUAUUGUGUAGUUACUGCGUACAGAAAUGCUUUAAAGAGUGGAUACUACCAGCCAAGCAAACAGGAAGUCUUCCCUACUUUGUCCUCUUUGCAAACAGGAAGUCUUCCCUACCUCGUCCUCUUUGCAAACAGGAAGUCUUCCCUACCUCGUCCUCUUUGCAAACAGGAAGUCUUCCCUACCUCGUCCUCUUUGCAGUCCUAUGUGUAAUCUUCACAUUUGGGAUACCAUAAAACACUUACAAUUUUCCAAAUCGAUAUUUUUUUCCUCUACAUAUGAUUGUUUUAAGUAGCUAUGAAAAUUGUACAAGUGGCACAUUAAUACAUUUUCAUUGUAAAUAAAAUGAUGAAGUAAGAGCCCCCUCA